AAUAAACCCGGUAAUCGAUUAGGUUCACCUGCGUAUUCAGAUCACAGUACUCUUAUGAAACUCUUCAUCUCCCCCUAUCUCUUGAUCUCAUGCCUCUUUACUCAUUCCAUCAAUACCUUAAGCGUUUCAAAACCUCUAACAUUGAUUUCAGUAUAAAGAGUCAAUGCCAGAAUCUGGAAUCGAACAUCUCAGUCGCCUCAUCUUUUACUCAACUGUCGAAAAUGCCUUUCUCCGUUUUUGUUUCCAUCCAAUCUGCUGUUAUGAACUCCACAUACGAUGAUCUUUGCCUUGGCUGUUAUUCUAAGGUGAUUUGUUGGCCACCUCUUCCGCUUCUGGGAUUUAUUGAAUUCAUGCCUUGUCCUACUUGAUGAAAAGUUUCCGUCAUCCAAGGCUUCAUCCCCGCUCCUCAUGCCAAUCAGUACUGUCAAACUUUACGAUUGCCAAAGUUGAUGGAUUCGAAGUUUGUGGGUGAACGAAUAUGUACAAGUGUCUGGAUCACCCUUUCUUCUUCUGGUUCAUUCCGACAAUAACUAUUGCUGAAGUGCUCCGGUCAUCUCUAAGCUCUUGUAAACUGAUUGUCUUUUUCACUGAGACAUCAGCAGAGGUAUUCCCACGUUUUGAGACCAUUGGAGAGAUUCAGAAGAAAAAAAACAACUUGCCUCAAUUGGAGAACUUCACAUGUACCUCCAAGUCCAAUGCUCAGCUGAUAUCCUUUUAAGGCUUGAAUCAUCGGUGUCCUCCAGGAAAAAUGGCUGGUCUUACGUUGCUUGCACAGCUGCAGGGAAUUGGAAAAAUCUGGGACGUCGCUCCGGUGCAUCAGGUUCUGUUUCGAGUUGGCUGUUGACGAUAGCCACAACAGUGCUACAUUUGUGGUGCUCUACUUCUAGACAUAAAUGACCGAACAUACCAAGAAAGAAGCACUCACCCCAGCACUCCAUUCAUCUUGCAGUUUUUAAAUGGUCAAGGUUGCUCUCAUUAUAACACGGAGCUUAAACCUAUGACAGACUAAUGGUGGUGGCGGGUCCAGAGCUACCAAGAUGCCUAGAAGAACUAGUUGUGGAAGCAAUGUGUGUUCCAAAUUCGCGUCACGCCUCACAAUUACACACCCAACUUCCGAACCUUCACUGUCUCUGCAAGCACUGAAAAUGUGGUCCUCAACACUCAGUCAGAGGUUGGCUAAACUAAGUUUUAAUUUAAUUUAAGUUGGCACUUUUUGUAAAAGAGUCAGGCAGUAUCAUCAAACUAAUAAAAACCUACACAUAUUCUUUUA